rnacentral:rRNA from 1 species
AUUCCCCUAGUAACGGCGAGUGAAGAGGGAAGAGCCCAAGAUUGAAAGCUGGCGUCUUCGGCGUCCGCAUUGUAAUCUCAAGAAGUGUUUUCCGCUUCGGACCAAGCCUAAGUCCCUUGGAAAAGGGCAUCAUAGAGGGUGAUAAUCCCGUACAUGGCUUGGAGCGCCCGAGGCUUUGUGAUACGCUUUCUAAGAGUCGAGUUGUUUGGGAAUGCAGCUCAAAAUGGGUGGUAAAUGCCAUCUAAGGCUAAAUAUUGGGGAGAGACCGAUAGCGAACAAGUACAGUGAUGGAAAGAUGAAAAGAACUUUGAAAAGAGAGUUAAACAGUACGUGAAAUUGCCAAAAGGGAAGGGUAGGAGGUCAGAGAUGCGGCCUGGGAUUCAGCCUUGCUUUUGCUUGGUGUUUUUCCCAGAUUGCAGGCCAACGUCGGUUUUGGGCACUGGAGAAGGGUAGGAGGAACGUGGCACCCCUCGGGGUGUGUUAUAGCCUCCUACUGGAUACAGCGACCGAGACCGAGGACAGCAGCGUACUCGUAAGAGCGGGCCCUCGGGCACCUUUACGCUUAGGGCGUUGGCAUAAUGGCCCUCUACCACCCGUCUUGA